rnacentral:rRNA from 1 species
UACGGGGGGGGCAAGCGUUGUUCGGAAUUACUGGGCGUAAAGGGCUCGUAGGUGGCCAACUAAGUCGGACGUGAAAUCCCUCGGCUUAACCGGGGAACUGCGUCUGAUACUGGAUGGCUUGAGUUCGGGAGAGGGAUGCGGAAUUCCAGGUGUAGCGGUGAAAUGCGUAGAUAUCUGGAGGAACACCGGUGGCGAAGGCGGCAUCCUGGACCGAUACUGACGCUGAGGCGCGAAAGCGUGGGUAGCAAACAGG